GCGCGGAAGAUGUAACGGGGCUCAAACCAGGUACCGAAGCUACGGGUGUGCCUGCAUCACUUAAGGCUAUUCGAUUAACGUCGCGAAGCGACGUUCAAGCGCUCCCCGAACGUUGAGUCGGGUGGGCAGAUCAUGAUGAGUAGGCUUAAGGAUGCAGGCACGCGGUAGAGGAGCGUCGUGUAAGCCGACGAAGGUGGAUCGAGAGGUCUGCUGGAGGUAUCACGAGUGCGAAUGCUGACAUGAGUAACGACAAGG
rnacentral:rRNA from 1 species